AAGACCUUGCACUUUUGGAGCGGCCGAUGUCUGAUUAGCUAGUUGGUGGGGUAAUGGCCUACCAAAGCUUCGAUCAGUAGCUGGUCUGAGAGGACGGCCAGCCACACUGGGACUGAGACACGGCCCAGACUCCCACGGGAGGCAGCAGUGGGGAAUUUUGGACAAUGGGCGCAAGCCUGAUCCAGCCAUGCCGCGUGAGUGAAGAAGGCCUUCGGGUUGUAAAGCUCUUUCAGCCGGGAAGAAAAGGUUGCGAUUAAUAAUCGCAAUUUAUGACGGUACCGGAAGAAGAAGCACCGGCUAACUACGUGCCAGCAGCCGCGGUAAUACGUAGGGUGCGAGCGUUAAUCGGAAUUACUGGGCGUAAAGGGUGCGCAGGCGGUUUUGUAAGUCAGAUGUGAAAUCCCCGGGCUUAACCUGGGAACU
rnacentral:rRNA from 1 species